rnacentral:rRNA from 1 species
AGUGAACGCUGGCGGUAGGCCUAACACAUGCAAGUCGAACGGCAGCACAGUAAGAGCUUGCUCUUACGGGUGGCGAGUGGCGGACGGGUGAGGAAUACAUCGGAAUCUACUUUUUCGUGGGGGAUAACGUAGGGAAACUUACGCUAAUACCGCAUACGACCUACGGGUGAAAGCAGGGGAUCUUCGGACCUUGCGCGAUUGAAUGAGCCGAUGUCGGAUUAGCUAGUUGGCGGGGUAAAGGCCCACCAAGGCGACGAUCCGUAGCUGGUCUGAGAGGAUGAUCAGCCACACUGGAAAUGAGACACGGUCCAGACUCCUACGGGAGGCAGCAGUGGGGAAUAUUGGACAAUGGGCGGAAGCCUGAUCCAGCCAUACCGCGGGGGUGAAGAAGGCCUUCGGGUUGUAAAGCCCUUUUGUUGGGAAAGAAAAGCAGCAGGUUAAUACCCCGCUGUUCUGACGGUACCCAAAGAAUGAGCACCGGCUAACUUC